UACGAAGGGUGCAAACGUUGCUCGGAAUUAUUGGGCGUAAAGCGCACGUAGGCGGCUUUUCAAGUCCCAUGUGAAAGCCCACGGCUUAACCGUGGAAGUGCAUGGGAAACUGGAAAGCUUGAGUACUUAAGAGGAUCGCGGAAUUCCCGGUGUAGAGGUGAAAUUCGUAGAUAUUCGGAAGAACACCAGUGGCGAAGGCGACUGACUGGACAAGUAUUGACGCUGAGGUGCGAAAGCGUGGGGAGCAAACAGG
rnacentral:rRNA from 1 species